GAAAUCUGAAAUAUGGCCAAAGAAAGUGAGUUGCUGUCUGUUUCAGUACAUGUUGUGUGGCAAAGACCUUCAACAGCUGAUGACAAGCCUGGUUUCUGCAAGUGUGGAGCUCUUCCUGGUCUCAUAGUUACUUCCUUCCCUACCUCUCUCUCAUGCUCCUGAGCUUGGGAAGGUUCCUGCUCCAUGCAUGCUCCCUGUCAAGGAGAGAACAUCGCCAUCAUUCAUGUGCCACAUUCCUGGGAAAGGGAGGAGCACUGGGAGGCAGCUUUCCAUCUCACCCUGCUCCAUUUGCUCUGUCAAGCAGCAGCUCAGCCCCGCUGGCACUGAUGCUCAGCAGAGACAGGUCUGGAGAAGGCUCUGCUCAUCUCUGCUGCAUGGGGCUGGCACCCAGGGAUGUCCAAGGAGCUGAGAUGGACACUGCACACCCCUCUGCAGACACACAGGGGGAUAUUUUGUGCUCCUCUGAUAUUUUUUGUGACCAGACCUCAGAGGGGAGUGCCAGCCAUUGUCAAAUGUCUGCUACACAUCUUGCUUCAUGUGUGUGUGGGGUAAAUCCAUCUUCUCUGCAAAGCACCAGUGUUCCACAUACCCAUCAGCACUAUAUUGAAGAUUUCUGCUGUUAAAAAAAAGCCACUGUUGCACUCCCUUCCCAAAGCAUCUGGGAGCUGACCCUCAUGGCAUG
rnacentral:lncRNA from 1 species